rnacentral:rRNA from 1 species
CCUACGGGUGGCAGCAGUGGGGAAUAUUGCACAAUGGGGGAAACCCUGAUGCAGCGACGCCGCGUGAGGGAAGAAGUAAUGCGUUAUGUAAAGCUCUAUUAGCAGGGAAGAAAAUGACGGUACCUGAGUAAGAAGCCCCGGCUAACUACGUGCCAGCAGCCGCGGUAAUACGUAGGGGGCAAGCGUUAUCCGGAUUUACUGGGUGGAAAGGGAGCGUAGACGGCAGUGCAAGACUGGAGUGAAAGGCGGGGGCUCAACCCCCGGACUGCUCUGGAAACUGUACGGCUGGAGUGCAGGAGAGGUAAGUGGAAUUCCUAGUGUAGCGGUGAAAUGCGUAGAUAUUAGGCGGAACACCAGUGGCGAAGGUGGCUUACUGGACUGUAACUGACGCUGAGGCUCGAAAGCGUGGGGAGCAAACAGGAUUAGAUACCCUAGUAGUC